GCGCGUUCGCGCGACUGGCGAGAUCAGAUGGGGCACCAUCGGGGAACGCGAACGAUAUUUGCCGCUCGCCUGGGCACCUCAC
rnacentral:ncRNA from 2 species